GAGUUGAUCAUGGCUCAGGACGAACGCUGGCGGCGUGCUUAACACAUGCAAGUCGAACGGAAGGCCCUGCUUGCAGGGUACUCGAGUGGCGAACGGGUGAGUAACACGUGGGUGAUCUGCCCUGCACUUCGGGAUAAGCUUGGGAAACUGGGUCUAAUACCGGAUAGGAGCCAUCUUUAGUGUGGUGGUUGGAAAGUUUUUC
rnacentral:rRNA from 1 species